rnacentral:rRNA from 1 species
AUUGAACGCUGGCGGCAGGCCUAACACAUGCAAGUCGAGCGGAUGAGAGGAGCUUGCUUCUCGAUUCAGCGGCGGACGGGUGAGUAAUGCCUAGGAAUCUGCCUGGUAGUGGGGGACAACGUUUCGAAAGGAACGCUAAUACCGCAUACGCCCUACGGGGGAAAGCAGGGGACCUUCGGGCCGUGCGCUAUCAGAUGAGCCUAGGUCGGAUUAGCUAGCUGGUGCGGUAAUGGCUCACCAAGGCGACGAUCCGUAACUGGUCUGAGAGGAUGAUCAGUCACACUGGAACUGAGACACGGUCCAGACUCCUACGGGAGGCAGCAGUGGGGAAUAUUGGACAAUGGGCGAAAGCCUGAUCCAGCCAUGCCGCGUGUGUGAAGAAGGUCUUCGGAUUGUAAAGCACUUUAAGUUGGGAGGAAGGGUUGUAGAUUAAUACUCUGCAAUUUUGACGUUACCGACAGAAUAAGCACCGGCUAACUCUGUGCCAGCCGCCGCGGUAAGAC